rnacentral:pre_miRNA from 9 species
UCUCGAUAGCGUAAAAGUUAGUUGACAUUUGUAUGGAGUUGGAACGUUUGCCGCUAGGGGCGCUGUUCCAACUGCAUACAAAUUUGAGUUAACUUUUACGGUAUCGA